AGUCGCGUGGUCUAAUGGUUAUGAUUUCUCGUUCACAUUCAUGUGUUCUCAAGCAAGCCGACUAGCUCAGCUUCGCUCCGAGAAGGUUCCCGGUUCGAUCCCGGGCGCGACUA